rnacentral:rRNA from 1 species
AUGGAUCGGGGUGAGUUCUACGUCAUCAUGGAGCUCUUUGAACGGGCGGUUCACUUCAAGUGGGAGGUCAUAAUCGUCUAUGGUCCUGCCGACCACAGCCGGUCGGCCUCCUUCCUCGACGAGCUUAUGAGGAAGGUGUCGGCUACCCAACUCCCGGUAGUGGUGGGCGGCGACUUCAACCUCCUCGGCUACGCAGAGGAUAAGAGUAAUGACCUAGUCAACUACCCUCGGAUGCAAAUGUUCAAUGGCUGCAUUGCUGAGCUCGGCCUCCGAGAGUUAGAUAGGGUUGGUGCCAGAUUCACCUGGACCAACCAGCAGGUAGACCCGACCCGCUCCGUCCUCGACCGGGUCUUGGUCUCGCCAGAAUGGGAGCAUCGCUUCCCCCUUGCCUCCCUCCGCGCCAUCACCCGUAUCGGCUCGGACCAUGUCCCCCUUCUCCUAUCCUCGGAGGAUGAGCGCCCUGCCACCCCCACCUCCUAG